AGUAUUUUGACUAUACAAAGGUAUUGAAAUAAGACUUUAAUUGAGUGCUAAGAGAAUGGAAUUUCAUAAAAUUUCUUUUUUAAUUUUAAAAAUUGAAAUUAAUUUUAUAUGUGAAGAAACAAUAAUAAAAAUUAAGGACAAGAAGACCCUAAGAAUUUUAAAAAUUUCAAUAUAAUAUUAUAUUAUAUUGAAAUUUUUUAAUUGGGGCGAUUAUUAAAUAUUAAAAACUUUAAUUUUUUUAAAAAAGAACCAAUAUUAUUGGUUAUUUGAGAAAAUACUCUAGGGAUAACAGCGUAAUAAUUUUUGAUAGUUCUUAUAGACAAAAUAGUUUGCGACCUCGAUGUUGGAUUAGGAUUCUUUUUUAAUGAAGAAGUUAAAAAAAGAAGUUUGUUCAACUUUUAAAAUCCU
rnacentral:rRNA from 1 species